UUAGGGUUGUAGGCGGAGACAUCCUUGAGGUCUCUGCUGCCAAACCUUUCAGCCCUAGAGCUGGAGCAGGAUCUGAAGCUGCUGCUGCAAACUGCUUUAAGUCAACCAGCUCUUUGAAGCAAACAUCCAUGAACAACUGAGUGAAUAUUGUGGGAAACAGCUGUGCGGAGCAGAUAGGAGUAGUUCCGUUCACCCUGGUCCUCUUAGCAGGGAUCCUAGCAUAGCUGUCCUCUGAGAAGCUUCACCCAGCUGGUGACAGAAACAGAUGCAGAGAUCCACAGCCAAACAUUAAAUGGAGCUUGGAGAAUUUUGUGGAAGAAUAAGGGGAAGUAUUGAGGGACCAGAAGAGCAUAGAGACUCCGCAGACUACCAAAGUCAACUAACCUGGAUACUUAGAGCCUCUCUGAUAUUGAAUCACCAAAUGAAGAACAAGUAUAGACUAGAUGUAGGCGAUUUGUAUGUAUGUAGCAUAUGUAGGAUGUCAAGUCCUUUGAGCAUAUACCAAGGAGCUGAAUUAUAAGGUAGAUCUACUUUUAGCUUUUUGGAGAAUUUCUCAUCCUCAGUUUUAUAGUAGCUUCACUAGUUUUUUCCCCUUUCCCCACCUCCUCCCUGAUAUUUGUUGUCAGGUGUUUUAUUUUAGACACUACAACUAAGAUAAGAUGAACUCUCAAAUCCAUUUUAAUUUACAGUUCCAUAAUGGCUAAGGAUAUCUGAUUAUAUUCUAAGUAUGUAACUUUUUUAAUUAAAAGAUAUAUGUUUGUAGCUCUCAUCCCCCAUUAAAGAAUUGCAGCAGAGUGAGGCUACUAUAGUGAUCCAUAACUAGUUAAAUUGUAAAGAGUAAGUGACCACAGUAUGACUACUCAACCACAACUAAUAAAUCUGUAAUACAACUGCUAUGACUUAGAGAUAAUCAUAAAAAUGGGAAUAGAAAUAUUAUAAUAGCCUAAGGACCAGAAUACUUGUUGGUAGAAAGUGUCUUUUAGACAUUACAGGAAAGCUGCACCUGUGAAAUUGCAGCAAUAAAGUUGCCUAAACAAGACCUAUAUACUGACACCAGAUGGCAGGCCAGCAUGAAUGGGGUAAAUUUCAUAAGGCUUCACACCUACUAUAGGCAAUCAAUGGGUUCUGAGAGAGUGAAAAUCAGUUUUUCCCUGGGAGGAGCUCCCUGAUAGGUUAUCUAAUACUGAGGGUUCAGCCCUAAAUACAUAUCCAUACUAGCAACAUCAAAUGGACUUAGUGGCAGUGGGAUAUAUGGAGAGGUUGUAAAUUUGAGAAAUAGUAGGGGUGCUUAUGAGGGAUGGAAGGCAGAGAAUAUGGGGUGGAAAUAAUGUAAGAAAAUAAUGUAAAUGUACAACUCUUGUGUAAAAAAUCUAAAAAAAUUAAAAGUUAAAAAUUC
rnacentral:lncRNA from 1 species